rnacentral:rRNA from 1 species
CCUACGGGAGGCAGCAGUGAGGAAUAUUGGUCAAUGGUCGGGAGACUGAACCAGCCAAGCCGCGUGAGGGAUGAAGGUACAGAGUAUCGUAAACCUCUUUUGUCAGGGAACAAAGGCGGGGACGUGUCCCCGGAUGAGUGUACCUGAAGAAAAAGCAUCGGCUAACUCCGUGCCAGCAGCCGCGGUAAUACGGAGGAUGCGAGCGUAACCCGGAUUGAUGGGGUUAAAGGGGUGCGCAGGCGGUCUGUUAAGGCAGCGGUAAAAGCCCGGGGCUCAACCCCGGCCCGCCGUUGCAACUGGCAGUCUCGAGUUGGCGAGCAGUAUGCGGCAUGCGCGGUGUAGCGGU